AUCCACACAAAUGGAAGUAGACCAACCAAGACUUCAGUUAUAAAAGGAAAGAACCUAGGAAAGGAAGAGUAAUCAAAGACAUCAUACUUUAUUUUUGUAGAGAGAGAAGAAAUCAUCAUAAUGUCCAGGUAGAAUAUGGUAUCUUCUGCUUCCCCAGCAUUUGUGUGGAAGACAAGGGAAAUUCUGACAGUUGAAGUCCAAUGUCAGUAAUUACUGUUCUUUGCCCAUCAACAUAUCUCCUAUACCAAGGUGCAGAACACAGGGACUUAUAAAGAGAGGUGGCUGUAAUACACAGAGGUGCAGGCUAGCAGAGAACUCUGAGGAGUGGUCAUUGUAUAGAGAGAAAGCUGAUCUCCACUCCCCACCAUUGCACACAAGGAUUUUUAAGAAUUGGAAGGACAUUCGAGACACAUUAAAGAAUGAUUCAAAAAACAUUGCCUCAAGUGGUAAGUUUAUUGCUUUUGUA
rnacentral:lncRNA from 1 species